rnacentral:rRNA from 1 species
UGAAACCGGUGAGAUGGAAACGGAUAGAGUCAGCGUAUCUGGCCUGUAUUCAGCCAUCGGGCUGGUGCCUGUUGGGUAUCUGCCUCCAGACUGGGGUGGUGCCUUGCUGGCUGCUAGUCUAGUGGUGCAUUUGCAGGUGGUGUGCGCCGAGGCUCUCGGGGCAGCUGCAUGAGCCUGGCUUUGAGGCCAGCUCGCAAGAGUCUGGUACCCGAACUGGGGGAGUGCUGUUUGUCCUGAGUGUGUCGUUUGGCAUGGCUUACGGGCUCGGGUGGGUGCCGAGCUGGCAACCGGUUACGGUCGCAUGCGACACGUGCCAGUAGCUAGUUCGGUCCUAUUCGAGCUCUCAUGUCCACCCUCGGUGUAAAAGCUGGUCAUCUAUCCGACCCGUCUUGAAACACGGACCAAGGAGUUUAUCGUGUACGCGAGUCAUUGGGUGUUGAAAACCCAAAGGCGAAAUGAAAGUGAAGGUACCCGUAAGGGGCUGACGUGCGAUCCUGUGUGCCUCGGUGCGCAGGCGCAGCAUGGCCCCAUCCCAACUGCUUGCAGUGGGGUGGAGGUAGAGCGUACGCGGUGAGACCCGAAAGAUGGUGAACUAUUCCUGAGCAGGAUGAAGCCAGAGGAAACUCUGGUGGAAGUCCGAAGCGAUUCUG